UCUUGGAGGUGCCUGAAGAUGUCUACAACUGGAAGAAAAGAAGCCACUGGAGCGGAAGGUGGGGAGGAUAAAGUUUGGAGCAAGAUUCUCAAGGAAGCAACAAGAUCCUAAGAAAGAGAGAAAGAGACCACCUACUGCAUUUCUGUUCCUUGCUGAAAAGGACACUCUGUCAGAGAAUCUUCUAGCAAACUUCAAAGAGCAAAAUCACCCUUUGUUAUGGAUAAAGUCCAGAGAGCUUCAGCAGCUAACAUUCCCUGGACAGGGUACAGCAAGGAUUUGAACCUAGGCCAGUCUGGCCAGAACAUCCACAAGCUUUCCUUAACUCAGUGGGCUAUCUCCCCAAGACUAGGUCACUACUGCUUUGUAAUCACCUUUGUAGCCACCAGCGGAUUUUGCUCAUCAGUAUUUUCCAGGAAAGAAGAAAAUCGGAGGAGCUCCAGCUCUUUGAAAGCAAACAGCAGCUCCUGGGGAUGAUGGCCUGUCUGAGUGCCCGGGGAGUCCAGUCCUGCCCGCUCUCUGUAGGUUUCACUGCAAAGUGGGGUCCAUGGGAACUCAGAGAUCUGAACCCCAAGUCCUGCCCUCCACUGGUGCCCUAGGGAAGGUGUGCACCAGAUUGAGACAAGCAAAAGGAACAUGUGCACCCAGCUGAGGCUGCAGCUCAGGCACAGCGUAGAGGCACAGGCAGUAUGUGCCUGGCAGGUGGGGGUAAGAGGUUGAGGGCUCGGGAGACUCUGGGUUCAGAACAAUUCUCUGCUGCAGGUCUGGAGAGAAAAGAUUUCAAGAACCAGACAUGAAUGGGUGUGAGAGGGUUCUGCUCCUGAUGGACACUGACUAGCUCCUUCCCACCCAACCUCACUCUAGGCUCCUGGCUGGGGAGCCCACUCCCGGGGGGGCUUCUGACCGCUUUACUCCAUCACUCUAGAACUGCGAUGCCCCCAUUAAAAUGCCCUUAAAUCCCAACAAAGGCCUGGGGAGCUGCUUCGCCCUAAUGGCAGAGUGAGGAUGGGGCAGUGGGCAGCAGGGGGGCCCACACCCUCCAUCACACAGAGGCCACACCCGUCAGGGGUCUGCGUGGCAAUUAGCAGGCUCAGGCAAAAACAAGGACUCUUGGGACAGCCCACAUGUCCACAGGAGGCCCUCCCGUUAGGUCAAAAGAGUCCAUGCAGGACUAGGACCCCACAGCAAGAAGAGCCACUGGCAAAGCUGAAAUGCCCUGGUGGCUGGAGAUGCAAGUGAGACCUGGGCCUGUGUGUGCACAUUCUCACAGCGGAUCUGGACCAGGUCAAGGAGUCAUGAGUCCCCAGAGUGCUGGCAGCUAUGCAGAGGCAAGGCUGAAGGACAGGCAUCCUGUCUGGGGCAGACCCUGGCUGGCUGGUCUCAGCCCCCUGUUCCUGCUCCUGGUCCAAUGGGCCCUGCAAGGCAGCAGGUGAGUGGUCAGAUGUCCAUGCUUUGGCAGAGCCACACUGCCUGGUCUCACAUUCUCACUCUGCCAUUGAGGAGCUUGAUGCCCUUGGGCAAGUGGCUUAACCACCCCGUGACUUGGUUUUCCUGUCUGGACACUUGGGGUAGUAAUAGCAGCUGCCUCAAAGGGCUGUUGUUCUGAGAUGAAAAUGGAUUAUGAGAUGCUUUGAACCGCGCUUCACACGUAGCAAGUACCUAGGUUAGCCGUCAUUAUAGGCAUCGUUAUAGGGGACCCUGAGAUGAAGGGGAAGUGGGUGAGACACCCCAUGGAGCCGUAGGCCCACCACUCUCACUUCUCUAAGCUCCUGAAACAGCUCUUUCCCUGGGAAUUGCACUAGAGAAUUUUACUGUGGUCUUUUCGCUUACUGAUUGUGAGACCUUGAAGAACACGGCCUGUUUACCAUGCCCUGGUUUUAUGCAUUUUGAUAUUCUCUUGUGUGUCUAGUAUAUGGUGGGACCUUAAUACUCAGAUUAAGAUUUUAGGAAAAUGACCACCUAAAAUAUAUUUGUAAUGGGAUUGCAUAAGCUCUCUGAUAUCUGCAAUGAAACAUGACAUCUUGAUGGUGUCUUUUAAGAGUGGUGGGCCAAGUUUGAUCUUGUUUAGCGAUUAGAUAAAGGGUUAUUGUAAGGACUAACUCUUCCCAAAUCUACUGUAUGGAGCCUGAGUGGUUAUUAUAAUCAUGCCUUCCUGGGUCCUUUUCUGUAAUACACAUAAUCAUUCUAUAACAUGCCCAGAAAUAAAGGCCUUCAACAUUCUAUAAUAUAUCUUCUCCUUGGUAAUACAGUCUUCUAAGGACUUAGGGGUUGCCUCAGGAAAGAUAAGAGUUUCCAGGAAAAAAAAAAUACACACACACACAAAAAACAGCAAGUGGUAGAAUUUACCCAAAAAGAUUAGAGACCACCUUUUGCCUCGCUAUUUCCCAUCUCCUAACACCCCAUUCUGGUCUCGCCAGGGGAGAUUUUCACUAUGAGCCCAUCACCCCACACCUUCUAAUUCAUCUUGCUUAAAGACACUUCAUCCAAGCUUUGUAUUCGGUCCUUCUGACAGGUAGGAAUGAGUCACCGCUUUGGCUCCCAGUGACAGAAACCAGCCCUGGC
rnacentral:lncRNA from 1 species